UUCUGCUUCUCUCUCUCUCUCUCUCUCUCUCUCUCUCUCUCUGUGUGUGUGUGUGUGAGAGAGAGAGAGAGAGAGAGAGAGAGAGAGAGAGA
rnacentral:miRNA from 1 species